UACGUAGGGGGCAAGCGUUGUCCGGAAUCAUUGGGCGUAAAGAGCGUGUAGGCGGUCCGGUCAGUCGGUUGUGAAAGUCAAGGGCUCAACCCUUGAAUGCCGGCCGAUACUGCCGGGCUAGAGUCCGGAAGAGGUGAGUGGAAUUCCUGGUGUAGCGGUGAAAUGCGCAGAUAUCAGGAAGAACACCCGUGGCUAAGGCGGUUCUCUAGUACGGUACUGACGCUGAGACGCGAAAGCGUGGGGAGCGAACAGG
rnacentral:rRNA from 1 species